GUUGCCAGCGGACCCUUCGGGGUGCCGGGAACUUUGGCGGGACUGCCGGCGAAUAGCUGGAGGAAGGAGGGGAUGAUGUCAAGUCCUCAUGGCCCUUAUGUCCGGGGCUACACACGUGCUACAAUGGGUGGUACAAAGAGCAGCCAGCUCGCGAGAGUGAGCAAAUCUCAAAAAGCCAUCCUCAGUUCGGAUUGAAGUCUGCAACUCGACUUCAUGAAGUUGGAAUCGCUAGUAAUCGCGGAUCAGCAUGCCCGCGGUCGAAUACGUUCCCGGGCCUU
rnacentral:rRNA from 1 species